rnacentral:lncRNA from 1 species
GGGAAUAAAAGUUUGAGGGAAAGUAAAUAGGGAGAGUAAAAUUUUGGAGGGAAAAUAUUUAAAAAAAUGGAGGGAGGAGGGUUUGGGAUAGAUGGGAGGUGGGAUAGGAAGUGAAUAAAAGUUUUAGGGGAAAAGUGGGAGGGAGUAAAAAUUUUGGGCGAAAAUAAAAGGUUUUGAGGGUUUUUGGGAGUAAAAUUUUGAGAAAAAUAAAUGGGAGAGUAACAUUUUGGUGGGAAAUGGAUUUUUGGUAGUUGGGGGGUUGGGAGGGGAGGGGAGUAAAGGUUUUGGGGGAAAGUGGGAAGGAGUAAAAGUUUUGAGGGAAAAGUAAAAAGGUUUGGGAGUUUGGGAUAAAAAUGUAAAAUAUUAUAGUUUGA